UUAUGUAUGCCUGAUAAAAGGUCUAUUUUGAUAUAAUAGCYCAUGCCCUGCUUACAAGAA
rnacentral:tRNA from 1 species